rnacentral:rRNA from 1 species
UGAGGAAUAUUGGUCAAUGGGCGAGAGCCUGAACCAGCCAAGUAGCGUGCAGGAUGACGGCCCUAUGGGUUGUAAACUGCUUUUAUAUGGGAAUAAAGUGAGGGACGUGUCCCUUAUUGCAUGUACCAUACGAAUAAGGACCGGCUAAUUCCGUGCCAGCAGCCGCGGUAAUACGGAAGGUCCAGGCGUUAUCCGGAUUUAUUGGGUUUAAAGGGAGCGUAGGCUGUUUGUUAAGCGUGUUGUGAAAUGUAAGAGCUCAACUUUUAGAUUGCAGCGCGAACUGGCAGACUUGAGUGCGCACAACGUAGGCGGAAUUCAUGGUGUAGCGAUGAAAUGCUUAGAUAUCAUGACGAACUCCGAUUGCGAAGACAGAUUACGGGAGCGCAACUGACGCUAAAGCUCGAAGGUGCGGGUAUCGAACAGG